CACACCUCCUAUGCGUAUUUAGGCUGUGUGUUUCAUUCAGUCUUCGUCAGGACGUCUGUUUUCAUCCCUUCAUGUUACGUCAAACGUUCAGGUCCUUCAUGAUUCAGUUCAGGUCAUGCUCAUGUUUCAUGUUAAUGUGUUUUCCCACAGUUUCCCGCAUGCUCCUGCUCUGAAUCAUGCUCAUGUCUUUUCAUAGUAAUCAUAGUCUAGUUUUUCCCAGUUUAGGUUUUAGUUUUAGUUUUUGCCAUUCAUUUUGGCCUUUUUUUGUUUUCAUGUUUUUCGAACAACAAACGACUCACUUUUUGUUUAAACGUAGUUCCUUCUUCUCUUGUGUUCUGCAUUUGGGUCCUCCUUCUCACUCCCACACAGUCUGGGGAAGACUGUGACACCUGUUUCAAAGCUGCAACUAAAUUAAAUUUUCAACCAUUCCAAGAGUCACAAUCAAAAGUUGGAGUUUUACUGUGCAAACUAUGAUAUGCUAAGAGUAUAAAAAUCAGCCUCAUUUGUCUUCCUCGUUGAUCAAAAGCACAUUUAGGCUUAGUUUGGAAGAUACCAUCAUCGUGCAGUACUAGCCGAACAAUCUGAAAUAAUUAAUGUAGUGUAUUCAUUGAGUUUUUUUUUUUUUACUUUAUUUCUGGAGGAUCCCAUAAUGUACAGGAGAGAUAACAGCCCUGAAAUCUUAUAUGUUGCUGACUGACUACAGUAUGUUUCUAUUUUAUAAUUGCUUUGUAAAACUGCAAGUGAUGUGGAUAUUUUUAUACACACUGCAAAGUAGUAAUAAUGUCACAAACACAGGAUUUCCAGAUUCUUUUCUCUAGCAUUCACAUUGGCACACAAAUCAAAGCGGAGGAUUCUUCACAUAACUUUCCAAAAAUAUGUAGUCAGAACAGAAGAAAAUAUCAUUCAUCAAGCUUCUUGAUGGUCUUUAAUCUAAAGAAGUGCAAACAUAAGAUCUUCUAUUAGGGAUAACAAGACAGCAGCAAUACAACAGCUACUUGUAUGAUUUUGUGUGCAGAUUUUUUGUGUGUGAAGAUGCGGCUGUUCUGUGUCCUGUGUCUGGGUUAGGGUUAGUCUGCUGAGAUGCUUUCACGCCAGACUCAGUGGUAGGGUUCUCAUCAGCCUGACUCACCAAGUUUGAUAUUUGAUAACAGAGCGGUGAACAUGUAGUUGUUUGCCUUACUCACCCACCUUUUGAAAUUCUGGUGAGCUGUGGUCAAACCAAAGUAGCGAAUGGCACAUUAUGUAAAGCCUACAUUACGCUGCUGUAAUUACUGGUCUCGUCAGCCCAUGACCUGGACUAUCAUGUUGCAAGUGAUGGUUAGUCACAGGUUUGGUUAAGGUUUUACGUAAAUGUCAUGAUUCAGUGUGCGUCAUUAGGAAGCACAAUCAAAGACACUGACCUGUUGUAGUGGUUGUCUAAGUGUAUGUAAGAUAGGUAUUUAGAUGCAGAUGUGGCAGACCCUGAGUUAUUUUCAUAUUUGACUUUAAGCCUCCAUUUUUGUCUGUACAUCAAGCUAUUUUCUUGUCACAUUUGGUUUUUUUUUUUUUUUUUUUUUUUGUGGUGUUCAGGAUUAUAUCACAUAAACUGUUACCUUUCCUGAACUCAUCCAUAUGACUCCAAGGCUGCCAAUUACUAUAACCCUCUCAGAAAGCACAUGUUAUUUGAAAUUCAUGUUAUUUAUAUACAAUUCAUUUGCACAAAUGAUGGUGAAAAGCAUACUCUGUUUCAUCAUCUUUUUGGUUCCGAUGGGAACCAUAAAUUACAAAAUGAAUACACGCGUCUUCCAUAUGACUGAAUCUAAUGAUCGAGAUCAUGAACUCAUCAGAAAGGUGUUUAAUUGGAUCACAGAUCAAAUGUCCUGAUACCUAGCUUCACUUUUUCAGAAGUGGCAGUCCAUCAUUUAUAACUAGUUUAUGUUUCCUGUGUAUUUUGGUGUAUUUUUCCCUUUUGUUGUUAAUCGACCGUCGACUGAAACCAGCAGAGAAUUUUUUUUUGAAUAGCUGUGAAGGAUAAUGAGAUUCCUGUCCUUUUCUGUGUUUGCAAAUUCUUUUAUAAUAACCUCUUUCACAGACGCAUGUUUUAUGAAUAAUUUUAGAAAUAUGUGCGCUUUGUUGAAAAAUGUGUUGCUUGUUUUAGGGAAA
ensembl:lncRNA